CGGGUGAGUAAUGUCUGGGAAACUGCCUGAUGGAGGGGGAUAACUACUGGAAACGGUAGCUAAUACCGCAUAACGUCGCAAGACCAAAGAGGGGGACCUUAGGGCCUCUUGCCAUCGGAUGUGCCCAGAUGGGAUUAGCUAGUAGGUGGGGUAAUGGCUCACCUAGGCGACGAUCCCUAGCUGGUCUGAGAGGAUGACCAGCCACACUGGAACUGAGACACGGUCCAG
rnacentral:rRNA from 1 species